rnacentral:lncRNA from 1 species
AUGGGGAAAAUGUUAUUUUUACAGGUGCUGUGCACGGUGUCUGUGUGCAUGUAUACAUAUUACAAUGCAGAGCAUAAAAGCCUGAAGUCUCCUUUAGCACAGCCUGUAAUCCUAUUAGAAGGAUUACUCUGUUGUCCUAGGCUAUCAGAUCGUGUGGCAGUCAGUUCUAGUGCGUGUCUUCCUCGGAACUCCAGGGGAGCCAGGUAUUUAGCAGGGGAGUGCUUAAAUGGGGUGUCCAAACAAAGCAACUGGACACGCAGCAUCGUUACACAGACAGCUAGUCUGCAUUUGAAUGAGCGACCAUGCACCAUGUCAGAGGUGUUUGUGACAUCUGUAAUUCACACAAGAGGAAGGAAAAAAAAAAAAAGGAACCUUUGAGGCCAGAGCUCCUAGGAAAAGCUGCCUUUAAAAGAGAGGCAACUGUGCACAAAGAGAAAUGAGAACUGAGAAACAAAUCACAGCUUCCACUGGAGAUAAUGAGAAUCUCAGAUAGUAACACAUGCAACUUACUGAGGCCAGAGCGGUCCCAUCUUUCUGUUCCCCAAAGGGAGGCUUAGCGCUCUGUAAUUCUCACAGGGUCACUGCUUUCCUCCCCUCUCUGAAAGCAAUACUGGGCCUGCAGGAGAAGUGCUGCAAAGUGGUGCAGGAGGAAAGCCAAGGGCCAGCAGCUCAGGCAGCUCUCUGCUUGCUGCCUUGUGCCUUCCUGGGCUUCAGGCAGACUCUGAUUUCACAGCCUGGCAGGGAAGGACUGUCCACAUAGUGCUGAUGCUGAGCUCUCAGCUGGGAUUCACACCAGCAAAGAGGAUUUCCUGGAGUACUGAUGGUGGGAGGGCUGAGCCUGCCCCGUAUGCUCCAGAGGUGUAGAACAGGCAAAAGGUGAUAUUUACCCUCAUCCUCGCUUUCCACCCCAUUUAGUUAACUGGGGCAACCUCAAGAUUUCUUCCCAUGGAGUUUCCUGGAGCCGUAGAGUUGUACCCUGAGAGAGUAAACAGAAGCCCUGGUUGCUUGGGUCAUUAAACACAGGACAAAGCACAGGGGAGCGAUCUGUCACUGGUGGGCUGGGAGAGAGAGCAAAUGGACCUUUCCAUCCCUAAGCGUGGUGAUUUUCUUCACUCCUCAUUUCCUUUAUGACAUCCAGCCCUGAAUGUAGCUGCUGCUCCUGCAGCUGCAUGCCCAGCCUUGGGGGCAGAACGUGCUGCUGCUCUUGUUCCCAGCAUCCCCUCUUCCAUUUAGAAUCACAGAAUUGUAGAAUCGUUUCAGUUGGAAGGGACCUUUAAAGGUCAUCUAGUCCAGCUCCCUGGCAGUGAACAGUCCUUUCUCAGCAGGGCUCGAGAGUCCCAUCCCGGAGGGAGGGAGUGCAGGAGAAGCUUCUGAAGUU